rnacentral:rRNA from 1 species
UAUCUCUGUAGAGUCUGCAUAUCAAUAAGCGGAGGAAAAGAAACUAACAAGGAUUCCCUUAGUAACGGCGAGUGAAGCGGGAAGAGCUCAAAUUUGAAAUCUUCAAGGUUCUACCUUGACGAAUUGUAGUUUAAAGAAGUGUUUUCUGUUAGAUGAGUAGCAAAAGUUCCUUGGAAUGGGACAUCAUAGAGGGUGAGAAUCCCGUAUUUGGUUAUUCAUUCUAGCUUUGUGAUACACUUUCAAAGAGUCGGAUUGUUUGGGAAUGCAGUCCAAAAUGGGUGGUAAAUUUCAUCUAAAGCUAAAUAUUGGCGAGAGACCGAUAGCGGACAAGUACCGUGAGGGAAGGAUGAAAAGAACUUUGAAAAGAGAGUUAAACAGUACGUGGAAUUGUCAAAAGGGAAGCGUUUGACACCAGUGUUGUUUUUCCGAAAAUCAAUUACGAAUGGCUUGAUUUUGUGUUGUAUUGACCUUAUCAGCUUUCUUCACUUUUUUCGAGUCUUUCUUAAUGCACUUUUCGGUUAACAAGUCAACAUCAAUUUCUUUUGUUGUAAAAGAGUAUUCGGAAGGUGGCUUUCUUUUCGGAGAAAGUGUUUAUAGCCCUAUACUUCUACAAUCGGAGAGAUUGAGGUCUGCAGCGUAGAUCCUUCGGGGUUAGAUACACUUGUGCUAAGUUGUAGCUUUUCAUAGACAACUUGUUGACUAUGUUUAGUCAUGCGGCUUACUCGCUUGUGCUAUUUUACCUACGCUUAGGAUGUUGACUGAUAUGUAGUCGUA